AACGAACGCUGGCGGCAGGCUUAACACAUGCAAGUCGAGCGCCCCGCAAGGGGAGCGGCAGACGGGUGAGUAACGCGUGGGAACGUACCCUUUGCUACGGAAUAGCUCCGGGAAACUGGAAUUAAUACCGUAUGUGCCCUACGGGGGAAAGAUUUAUCGGCAAAGUAUCGGCCCGCGUUGGAUUAGCUAGUUGGUGGGGUAAUGGCCUACCAAGGCGACGAUCCAUAGCUGGUCUGAGAGGAUGAUCAGCCACAUUGGGACUGAGAAACGGCCCAAACUCCUACGGGAGGCAGCAGUGGGGAAUAUUGGACAAUGGGCGCAAGCCUGAUCCAGCCAUGCCGCGUGAGUGAUGAAGGCCUUAGGGUUGUAAAGCUCUUUCACCGGAGAAGACAGUGACGGUAUCCGGAGAAGAAGCCCCGGCUAACUUCGUGCCAGCCGCCGCCGUAAUAC
rnacentral:rRNA from 1 species